rnacentral:rRNA from 1 species
CCUCGGGUGGCAGCAGUGGGGAAUAUUGGACAAUGGGGGCAACCCUGCUCCAGCCAUGCCGCGUGUGUGAAGCAGGCCCUCGGGUUGUAAAGCACUUUCAGUGAGGAAGAACGCCUGGUGGUUAAUACCCAUCAGGAAAGACAUCACUCACAGAAGAAGCACCGGCUAACUCCGUGCCAGCAGCCGCGGUAAUACGGAGGGUGCGAGCGUUAAUCGGAAUUACUGGGCGUAAAGCGCGCGUAGGUGGCUUGAUAAGCCGGUUGUGAAAGCCCCGGGCUCAACCUGGGAACGGCAUCCGGAACUGUCAAGCUAGAGUGCAGGAGAGGAAGGUAGAAUUCCCGGUGUAGCGGUGAAAUGCGUAGAGAUCGGGAGGAAUACCAGUGGCGAAGGCGGCCUUCUGGACUGACACUGACACUGAGGUGCGAAAGCGUGGGUAGCAAACAGGAUUAGAUACCCGAGUAGUC